rnacentral:rRNA from 1 species
UACGUAGGGUGCAAGCGUUGUCCGGAAUUAUUGGGCGUAAAGAGCUCGUAGGCGGUUUGUCGCGUCUGCUGUGAAAACUCGGGGCUUAACUCCGGGCCUGCAGUGGGUACGGGCAGACUAGAGUGCGGUAGGGGAGACUGGAAUUCCUGGUGUAGCGGUGAAAUGCGUAGAGAUCCGGAGGAACACCAGAGGCGAAGGCGGCCUACUGGGCCAGUACUGACGCUGAGCCGCGAAAGCCAGGGGAGCGAACGGG